rnacentral:rRNA from 1 species
GGGGCCCGCACAAGCGGUGGAGCAUGUGGUUUAAUUCGAUGCAACGCGAAGAACCUUACCUAGGCUUGACAUCCCUGGAAUUUUGUGGAAACACAAAAGUGCCUUUCGGGGAACCAGGAGACAGGUGCUGCAUGGCUGUCGUCGGCUCGUGUCGUGAGAUGUUGGGUUAAGUCCCGCAACGAGCGCAACCCUUAUCUUUAAUUGCCAGCAUUCAGUUGGGCACUUUAAAGAGACUGCCGGUGUUAAACCGGAGGAAGGUGGGGAUGACGUCAAAUCAUCAUGCCCCUUAUGGCCUGGGCUACAAACGUAAUACAAUGGCGUAUACAAAGGGAUGCGAAAGGGCGACCUGGAGCAAAACUCACAAAGUACGUCUCAGUUCAGAUUGGAGUCUGCAACUCGACUCCAUGAAGGCGGAAUCGCUAGUAAUCGCGGAUCAGCAUGCCGCGGUGAAUACGUUCUCGGGGUUU